rnacentral:rRNA from 1 species
UACGUAGGGGGCGAGCGUUGUCCGGAAUCAUUGGGCGUAAAGAGCGUGUAGGUGGCUUGGAAAGUCUUACGUGAAAGCCUGCGGCUCAACCGCAGAAGGGCGUGGGAAACUUCCUCGCUAGAGUCCGGAAGAGGAGAGCGGAAUUCCUGGUGUAGCGGUGGAAUGCGCAGAUAUCAGGAGGAAAACCCGUGGCGAAGGCGGCUCUCUGGGACGGUACUGACACUGAGACGCGAAAGCGUGGGGAGCGAACAGG